AAUAAAUAUGAUGUGCUUAGUACUAAAAUUGGAAUGAUACAGAGAUUAGCAUGGCCCCUGUGCAAGGAUGACACACACAUUCGUGAAAGUGUUCCAUAUUUUU